CUACGGGAGGCUGCAGUGAGGAAUUUUGCGCAAUGGGGGGAACCCUGACGCAGCAACGCCGCGUGAGUGAUGAAGGCUUUCGGGUCGUAAAGCUCUGUCAAGUGGGAAGAACCUAUGCAGUGUUAAUAUCACUGUAUACUGACGGUACCACUGAAGGAAGCACCGGCUAACUCCGUGCCAGCAGCCGCGGUAAUACGGGGGGUGCAAGCGUUAUUCGGAAUCAUUGGACGUAAAGGGCACGUAGGCGGCUUGGUAAGUCAGAUGUGAAAGCCCGGGGCUUAACCCCGGAAGUGCAUUUGAUACUGUCAGGCUUGAGUAUGGGAGAGGGAAGUGGAAUUCCUGGUGUAGAGGUGAAAUUCGUAGAUAUCAGGAGGAACACCGGUGGCGAAGGCGACUUCCUGGACCAAUACUGACGCUGAGGUGCGAAGGCGUGGGUAGCAAACAGGAUUAGAUACCCGUGUAGUC
rnacentral:rRNA from 1 species